AUAAAAUAAAGUGUUAAUUAUUAAAAGAGCUAAGUUCACUAUGUUCAAUAACAGUUUUUAAAUCUUUUAGAAAUCUAUUUUUAGACAGCCUAGAAGAUACAGAAUUUUUCCCAUAAUUGGUACGGUGGUAAGGCACUACAAGCAUUCUAGGCUCUCUAACGUUACAAACGGGUAUAUUUAUUGAAAAUAGCGGAAGAAUAGGAUUACAAUUUACAUUACCAGACAAUAUACGAUAUACGAACGACGCGUCAUAAAAUAUUCUACGAGAAGAUAGUAAGGAUAGUCCUAAAUAACUUAAAAUGUUUAUAUAAUUAUUUUUGUCAUAAAAUAUGUUAAAUUUGUAACAUACAAAUUUAACAAAU